UACAGAGUGGGCAAGCGUUGUUCGGAAUUACUGGGCGUAAAGGGCGCGUAGGCGGCCUCUUAAGUCGAACGUGAAAUCCCCGGGCUCAACCCGGGAACUGCGUCCGAUACUGGGAGGCUUGAAUCCGGGAGAGGGAUGUGGAAUUCCAGGUGUAGCGGUGAAAUGCGUAGAUAUCUGGAGGAACACCGGUGGCGAAGGCGGCAUCCUGGACCGGUAUUGACGCUGAGGCGCGAAAGCCAGGGGAGCAAACGGG
rnacentral:rRNA from 1 species